CCUACCUUCCCACCGCCCCUCACAUUUCUCCCCGUCGUUCCCCAUUCUUCCUUGGUCGCCAGCUCCCUCUCUCCACCCCACCCCUCCCCUUCGUCCCCACCGCCAGCAAGAAGUUCGCAUCCCCUUUUCAUCGAAUCCGGUCGCCCAAGUGGGCGAGGAGGUCCCCCAGCUCGGCAUGCUCGCGAGCAUCCCAGCGUUAGGCUCCGUCGGAUGCGCGAGACUUCCACGCCCCUGCUCUUCCAAGCCAUUCUUCGAAUCCGUUUGCCGAAGUGCCCAAGGAGGCGCUCGAGCUUGGCGUAUUCACGGGCGACCCAGCGCGAGGCGGGCGCGGAGGCCCGCAACAAGCUAACAAGGAGCGGGCGUGGGUGCACAAGAAUAUCUGGGCACAGUUCGAUGCCUCCACUGAUAAAUUUGCUUGCAGGGCUCUUGAUGAUAUAUCCACUUUCAUCAAAUGCUUAAGGGUAUGGUCACUUGGAGAAGACAUAGCUAUGACUACAAAGAUCUGUUUUUCCAGGUAUGCAUUGUACAAGAUGGAUUUCCUCUUAACCGAUUGGAAGCAUACCGCAACAUGGAUGCACACAAGGGCUAGCCUAAGCAUGCAGGUAGAUGGAUUAUAGACGUCUUGUUAAUGCUGGUGCAAGGAUGCAAUAUCCAUGAACGAGCGCAACGUCGGUGGAUCUGUAUGUUAGAGUUCAGAAUUUUGAAAGAAAGGGGAUAUGGGAAACAAGAAGAGGGGAGCUCUACCUUGGCUAGGAUCCAUGACGGCGAGGUAGCACCGCCGACUGUUGGGACCAGGUGUUGGGCGUCUGUUGGGCGUUGCCGCCGCCGGUGUCGUGGGCAGGCGGCUUGGGGUGCUCGACAGCGUAGGUGGCCUCGAUGGCCUGGAACUCAACCUCGCUCGUCCGCGACAUCCCAGUAGAAUUCGUCGGCGUCAUGGGCGGCGCAGCCACCGGAGCUAGGGCUCGGCGACGUAUGGAGGUGCGGCGGCAUUGAGCGAGAAAAAAAAUCAUGAUGCCGAUCGAUCUGAAGGGCAGAGCGUGUGCGGGGCAGACGUGGGUCAAGGGCUGAACGUGUGCGGGGCAGACGUGGGUGGCAGAACAUUGAAUCUGAGCCAACCAAUCGGAUGGCAGACCGCUGAAUUAAUCUGUGCUGUUAGAUUUUAUUAGAUGUAAUUGAUCGUGGGGUGUAGGUUAUCCUGUGUAUAUUUUAUGGUGUGGUUGUAGGGGAAUUCAUGUUUGCUCUUUUAAUAGUAGUGUAGAUGUAGAUGUAGAUGUAGAGGUGUUUUUUUUUGAAACAUGGGCAAAAGACUUGCCUCAUUCAUUAAUAAAGGAGGAGAGUUUUAGAG